rnacentral:rRNA from 1 species
AGUGAACGCUGGCGGCAGGCCUAACACAUGCAAGUCGAACGGCAGCACGGCAGUAGCAAUACUGUGGGUGGCGAGUGGCGGACGGGUGAGGAAGUACAUCGGGAUCUACCCUGUUGUGGGGGGAUAACGUAGGGAAACUUACGGCUAAGUACCGCAUAAGAACUGAGGUUGAAAGCGGCGGACCGCAAGGCGGCGCGCGAUUGGAUGAACCGAUGUCCGAUUAGCUAGUUGGCGGGUAAAGGCCCACCAAGGCGACGAUCGGUAGCUGGUCUGAGAGGACGACCAGCCACACUGGAACUGAGACACGGUCCAGGACUCCUACGGGAGGCAGGCAGUGGGGAAUAUUGGACAAUGGGCGCAAGCCUGAUCCAGCCAUGCCGCGUGGGUGAAGAAGGCC